UCCUGUUCUGCGGGGAGAAGAAUGAGAACCUUCGAGCAAGGUUCGGGUCGGGCAUUCCGAGACAACACGCUUAAGCGCGGCCCGAAGGGUGAGGCGCAACGCGCCGAGUAAUCCUUCUCCCACCACCA
rnacentral:sRNA from 1 species